UGAUAUUAAGCUAUAAUAAUAGAAAAAUAGAUCAUGGAAAAUAAAUGUUCUAAUUAUUCUUCAUUAGUCAGAUGAUAUGUUAAGCAUCGCUUUGCCAUCUUGGCACUCUGAGAACUUACUCUUCAUCCUACAGAGAUGGCUGGAACAAAAAAACUUCAGAGGCGGUGCAUGUUGGAAACAUCUGAAGAGAAAUCUCCAGCACAGAAAGCACCAGGAGCAAAUCAAAGAAGCUUCUAUUAUGGUUUGCUUCUAAGCAAUUCUACUUGGUCCCACCUCCUUGACUCAGAUGAAUUUCAAAUGCCCAUAUCCGGUUCUAAAGCAAAGUUGCAUUGGAAUUUUUACUGAAAUUUUAUUCUAAUGAUCCACUAGUAUGGGGAAAAUUGACAUCUUUAUAGUAUUGAAUGUUCCAUGCAGAAACAAGAGUCUCUCUUUGCCGCCCAGGCUGGAGUGCAGUGGCGCAAUCGCGGCUCACUGUAGCCUCCGCCUCCUGGAUUCAGUCGAUUCUCCUGCCUCAGCCUCCCAGUGAUUUUUUUCUUAUUGUCCCAGUUCAUUUGCCAAAAGUCUAAGCUUUCCCAUUUGUUAGAAAUGCUUCUUUACUAAAAUAAAUUAAAUUGAAUUUACUUAAA